GGCCGUCCCCAUGUUGCUCCGCAGUACAAUCUCGCCGGCGUCCAUGGAGAAGACGCGCCGCCACCGGGUGCUACUUCUGGGUGUCCUGCUGCUGCUGGUCUCCGGGCUCCCUGAUCUCGGCAGCUGCAACGAUGGCGAACAAGGUCUGUCAGUAUGUCUCUGUUUAUGUGUUUCCCUCUUCGUGUAUGGCCGUGUAAUGUGAGUAUAUAUAUAAUAAGAUAAUAAUUGCGCAACAAUCCAUGGUACCUUAACCCUAGUGUUCUCCAUUUUUAUGAGAGGAAGCUUUGUUAGUUGUCACUCCACUCAGUUCACGCCCCAUAAGAAUUUUGAUAUAUGUUGGGGUGAUGCUAACUGACUGUACCUGUAGGAGGAACUAUGAACCCAGAGGAAGGUAUUGCCUCUGCCUCCGAAGCUAGGUGAGAUCUGUCAACUAAUCAUGAGCCGAAACAAUUUUAGUUUUUUUUUCGAGAAUUCCCAGUUUUGGACUGUUCCCCUAAAUAAAGUGUUCAUGGCUCGAACAUUAGAGGCAUUAUUAGGCAGAUUCUCAUAGGCCCUGGUCAGUUCUCUCUUCUUUUUUUUCUUUUUUUUUUUGACCAAUACUACCUGCAAAGCCAGUACCGAAUCAGCUUUGACUUCUUCCAUGUAGGCAUGUAGCAGAUGACACAUUUUCAGCACGAGGCCUCCACUUCAAUUUUCACCUGAAAACAGCAAAUUUAAAAAAAUCAAAGCGGAUCACCUAAAGUCUGUCCACAAAUAUUCGGCACACCGAGAUAUCUACCUUCCUGUAUCACUUUUCACAAACUGCACGUACCAACUAUAGUAGAUAGACACAAGGGCGAUCUUGGAAUCAUCCAUUGGCUGUCAGGAAUUGACAGCUGAACCACCAAGCAGACCCAGAUGAAGAGAUGAUGGUACAUCGCCUCUUUGUCAGAUUGUUCUGCGCCUCUUGUGCUCACACACACCCCUUUUUGCCUCCGAUCAAUU
rnacentral:lncRNA from 1 species